GCUGUUGACACGAAAGCAGCGCACUGGCGCAACUUUAAAAUAUUGACACUCGUAACUGAUAAGGAUGUUUAUGUUUAUUACUCUCAGUCCCAGCAGCACGUUUUUUACUCUUAUGCCAGGUCAUGUGCGCAUUUUGAUGGCCAGAACGUGAGCAAAACUGGCAAAAUCGUUCAGUCGUUGAGUCGGAAAAAAGGUUCAAUAAGGACAAGGCGUAGUACUUGGGUUAAUUAUGCAGUUUUCAGUUAGGGGGUUUCGGAUCUUAGAAGUACAGUGCUUCGAUGUAUUUUCUGCUACAGAGUACAGAGAGUUUUCCGGUCACAUGCUGAUAUGCAGACAUUUCCGGAGAUAUCGUUCUGGGCACAGUACUUACAGUAUCGCCGUGUAAAGUGGGAUCAGUAGCUAGCUUGAGUAUUAAUUUCAACCGCAAUGAAGUCAAACCUCUUUGACUAUUUGACAACUGUUUCUUUUUUCCAAAAGUAAUAUAAAGACAAACGCCCAGAAAACAAUUACUUACUAAAACGACCAUGUAAAAUGAGAAUAUAAAAGAUAAUCAGAGCAUUUUUGCUGUAUAUGUACACAUGCAGCUAGGUACACGCUGCCGCUUUUUUCCGUGAACGACGUAAAACUUGUGCAACCAUAUAAUUUACGAGGAUUUCACGCUCGAUUCCCGGUGGUUCACACUUCAAUAAACCUACUCAUCUCCACCCCCUCCAUCGCCGAAUCCUUCAGCUCCUCCACGGCGCCACGCGACACCGGCUCGUCCACCAUAUCCAGCGUGACCUUUGACCCGCCGAACGACGACAGCAUCACCGAGGAAUCGGAGCGACCGGCGCGGGAAUAGCGCGUUCCCGGCAGGGCAUAAUGCUGCAGACACAACGGGGUGCCGCUCUCUUGCUCCACCGCCGCCUUCCACACACACAGCACCAGCGCGCCGCUCCCGCACAGACACGCGGUGGAGAACAGCCAGACCGCCUGCAGGGCGCUGUACAUGGCGUAGACGUACGCUUCGUCGGCGGCGGACAGAUCGGCUAAUUUGCGGGCCAGGGCCACGCCGGAUUUGGGGAAGGAGAUGGUGUCGUACUCGAAGGCCAGCGCGGCGAAGAACACCAGGGAGUAGGCGACGCCGAUGAUGGUGCCGACAAAAUGGAUGGGCAGCAGGCGCCGGUUGGCCGAUAAGGAGUGGGAGGGUGUGGCGGCGCACAGACCGGUGAUGCCGAUGAUGGCGUGUAGGAGAGACAGGCUGAAGAAGCCAAUGUGGAAGAUGGCAAAGCGCCAGCUGAACAGGUGAACUGCCACUACCAAGAAUUAAGAGAUCAUGUCAAUUAUACAGAUUCAACGCUUCGCAAAAUUAACAUGUGCAAAUGUACUUCUAUAUAUCGCUGCAGUACGUAAUGAGGCUAAUUAAUA